UGGUUUGAUUACACACUAAGUGGUCAGAGGAUGGUCAUAGAGUGUAAUUUUGGCCAAAUUACAUCAGUCCAGUGCGAUCUGCAGAUCCAUUCAGAUGCAAUGGCAGCCAGUGGAUCCAACUCAGCGUCAAGAGGAAAAGGCUAGCACGUGCUAACAUAUUGUGCAACAAAACCAGCUGGACAAGAAAUUAUAAGUAUUCAAGGAGCCCAAGGACGUGCACAUUAUGCCAUUAAGCAGAGACUUGCUAGGAAUGCCCCCAGAUCAUCAGGAUCUGGGUGUCAGCUCAGCAAACUAAGAGAUCCUGCCACAGCAACUGAAAAGCACAUUAUAAUUACGGUGCAGUUAACAUGCCUGAGGGACAGGAUGCCAUCCAGCAGGACCUGGACAAGCUCAAGAAGUGGGCCCACCUGAAUUUCAUGAGGUUCAACAAGGUCAAGUGCAAGGUUCUGCACGUGGGUUGGGACAAACCCUGCUAUCAAUACAGGCUGGGGGGGUGAAGGGAUUGAGAGCAGCCCUAUGGGGAAGUACUUGGGGGUGCUAGUGGGUGAAAAGGUGGACAUGAGCUGGCAAUGUGCGCUCACAGCCCAGAAAGCCAGCCGUGUCCUGGGCUGCAUCAAAAGAAGCAUGGCCAGCAGGUAGAGGGAGAUGAUUCUCCUUCUCAACUCUGUGCUGAUGAGACCCCAGCUGGAAUACUGCAUCCAGCUCCGGAGUCCUCAGCACAGGAAAGAUACGGAGCUGUUGGAGCGGGUCCAGAAGAGGGCAGUGGCAAUGAUCAGAGGGCUGGAACACCUCUGCAUGAGGACGGGCUGAGAGAGUCCAGGGAGACCUUAUUGCAGCCUUUCAGUACUUAAAAGAGGUUUAUAAGAUGGGGACAGACUUUUUAGCAGGGCCUGUUGUGACAGGACAAGGGGUAAUGGUUUUAAACUAGAAGAGGGUAGAUUUAGACUAGAUAUAAGAAAGACAUAUUUUUACAAUGAGGGUGGUGAAAUACUGGAGCAGGUUGCCUGGAGGGAUGGUAGAUGCCCCAUCCCUGGAAACAUUCAACGUCAGGUUGGACAGGGCUCUGAGCAACCUGAUCUAGUAGAUGAUGUCCCUGCUCAUGGCAGGGGGGUUGGACUAGAUGACCUUUAAAGGUCCUUUCCAACCCAAACCAUUCUGUGAUUCAAUGAUUUGCCAGUGCACCCAGCCACAGCACACUGACUAGCUGGUCGCCCCAUUUGUGGGAUACCUUUUUUUAUACUCUCCAUACUACUCUGGUCAGGAGCUGCUGCCUAAGUCAAGUUGACAAGCCCUAGAUGGCAUGUGGUAAGAGCUACACAUUCAUCUCAUUUUAAAAGAAACUGAAUUAGAAAAUUAUGUUAAGAUCCAGAGGGGAGAGUGAGGCCAGGGUCCAUCACUGCAACAGUAUGUAGCUUUAUUUCAGAUCAAGGGACUUAGCCCCAGUGAUCCCAAUCAGAGAAGCAAGAUUUUAGUGAGGAUGAGCACUCAGCUUCCAAACCUGUGGUCCCCUUGUCUCUGCAGCACAUACCUGAUCUGGCCUAGAUGCACAUCUGUGAGGUAAAAGAAGCCAAGAUAUCCUGGAGGAAAGAGAGUUUCUGGAAGAGAGGUACCUGCCACAGCCAAAUAAAUCUUGCGUGCUUCUGGAUCAACAGGACAGACUCCCAGCUGAGCCAGACCUUGUGCAGGUGUCAAUACAAUGUCUCUGGGAGACAAACUCUGCUGGCUGUGUAGAGCUGGGAGCUGCAUUGCUGAGGAGAUUCAGAGAAGUUUGGCAGGCAGCUCCAAGAGCUGCCAUGCUGUGGUCCUGAGGAGACAAAAAACCAGCCCUGUCUGCUUGCAUCGAGUGAGGAACAGCCUCUAUCAGAAACCAGCAUGAGCCAUGCCCACCUGCCUGGUCUUCACAGGAGAGCCUGAAACUGAAAUAGGUGAAACAGCAAAUGAUGGAGAGCUUGAUAAACAAAACCACUGCAGUGGUUGCCAGAGAUCUGUUUAAGAACUAGCACUCCCAAUAUUCCACAUAAAUGUUUAUCCAGUAUGAAUAUUAUUCCUUAAAAAGUAGGAUGUUGUUCUUUUCCUGAGUAGUUUAACUUUGCAUUUUUUUAAUGUCAUCAAAAGUCUGAACUAUGACCUGCGCUAAAACAAUAGUAGAUAUUGUUUAGCAGUAAGUAGACUAAAGAGGAGAGAAAAAGAAAUGUAUUAACAUUACGGGACUAUUAUGACUACAUGUUGCAGACUCAUUAUAUUAGCUAAUAAUACCUAACUGAGUUGACUGGCAAAGGAUCAGCAAUCCCUCAAAGUUCUUUCUUCGGUCAAGACUUAGCCUGAUCUUUCAGUUUCCUGCCAUGUCUUCCAUUAAAUUCCUUUUUCUCAUUUAAAAAUAUAGUCCCAUCUGCUGAGAACUGCACAUUCUCUUCUUCAUCACAAGUGCUGAACUCUAUUCCACUGAAAUGCAGGAGUUCACCAAUAAUCUCUAUUUAUCUGUACAUUUUCUAGUAACCGGAAGAGCUAUCAUCUUUAAUACCUAUAGAGCAAAUGGAAGUUGAAAAGCCAGCAGGGAAGGGUUAGAAUGAAUGGAGUUAAAAGUAUGCUGUGGUGAGUAUACGAUAGAGAAUAUAAUGGUGACAAAGAAUGCUCAAAGGGAGAAGGGAACAAUUACCUGGACUAGGUGACUAGAAGAAAAAGAAGCACAUAGUAGAAAUUGGGCAUUACUAAUCUUUAAAUUCUACAUAAGGAUUAUUGAUUUUUAUUCUUCAGCUGAUUUCAAACAACACUCAUCUUGGUUCAGAACCAAAGCCCGAAACAUCCUCCAGCAUACGAUCACAGUGCUGCGGCAAGCUGCACUCUGGGAUAAGCUGUGCAUCAGAUGCAUCUCUAUGUUUCUGCUUUAAUCGUUACUGAUGGGAAGAAGACAUGCUGUGUAUGCACUUCUAUUGAAAGCUUUAAAAUCUCAGUAAAUCAUAAGAACUCUGUGAUACCAAGAUGCCGUCCCAAGUACUCAUUGAGACAAACUGUUAGAUUCCUAAUUAGUUAAAAUGACACUUCUCUUGGUGCACACCUACGAGUAGAAGUUACCUGCAUGUCCCCAUCCCCACUCCAUGGUGGUUACCACAGUGAUACUCUCCCCUUCUUUUGAAUCAGUGUAGGCUGAGCCACUAAAUACCAGCGCAGACCCAAGUAGAGUCCUCUCUUACGUAUCACACUGAGAAAUUCCAAGAUGUCUGUAAAGAAACAAUGGUCAGGACCUCCCCAUCCACCCCAUUUCUGCCCGAAACUCUGCACACAGACAGCAAAGUGUACAUAUAUGGAUGCUCUUGCUGAGCUGCAACUCACUCUGAAUAACAAGCAGGGGAAAAAAGGAAUAUCUCAGGAUUGCUCUAAAACUUCAAGGCCCUGCUCCAAAAUCUUAGAACUUACAAAACAUUUAGAAACCAGAAGGCAGAACUACACUGCACGAGGGAAGGCACCCCCAUAUCCACCAUGCUGCAUCAGUCAGAAGUGUAAGGGCAGAGCUAGGAAAAGCAGGUUUUCUUCUCUUACCGAAGACCUCUAGAUGGUGCCACCUCUUUUGCUUUCGAACCAAGCAGCAGCUAGUGAGGCUGGCAAGAGAAAUACAACGCUGUGUAAGGGAAAGAAGCUUAGGCAUUUGCAACCAUGUACAUAGGAGGAUCAUUUUGCAUGUAUGAUGUGCUGUUGUUAGA